rnacentral:rRNA from 1 species
UACGUAGGGACCAAGCGUUGUUCGGAUUUACUGGGCGUAAAGGGCGCGUAGGCGGCAAAUUAAGUCAUCUGUGAAAUCUCCGAGCUUAACUCGGAACGGUCAGGUGAUACUGAUCUGCUAGAGUGCGGAAGGGGCAAUCGGAAUUCUUGGUGUAGCGGUGAAAUGCGUAGAUAUCAAGAGGAACACCUGAGGUGAAGACGGGUUGCUGGGCCGACACUGACGCUGAUGCGCGAAAGCCAGGGGAGCAAACGGG